rnacentral:sRNA from 1 species
UGAUAAGGUCGAAAGGUUAUAUGGCGAUUACGCUUGCGUAAAUUGCAUAGUAACCUUGAGACCAAGAAGAUAUGAGGAAGUAGCAAUUUACGAAGUAAAUUUGCGGAUUCCGAAUAUCUUCAGAAUUGCGAAAGUUUUGAAAAAACGGAGUAAUUUGUAUCAU